rnacentral:rRNA from 1 species
CCUACGGGAGGCAGCAGUAAGGAAUAUUGGGCAAUGGAGGCAACUCUGACCCAGCCAUGCCGCGUGAAGGAUGACUGCCCUAUGGGUUGUAAACUUCUUUUGUAUGGGAAUAAACUCUCGUUCGUGAACGAGACUGAAUGUACCAUAAGAAUAAGCACCGGCUAACUCCGUGCCAGUAGCCGCGGUAAUACGGAGGGUGCAAGCGUUAUCCGGAUUUAUUGGGUUUAAAGGGUGCGUAGGCGGGAUUGUAAGUCAGUGGUGAAAUCUUCCGGCUCAACCGGAAAACUGCCAUUGAUACUGCAGACCUAGAGUACAUUUGAAGUGGGCGGAAUGUGUCAUGUAGCGGUGAAAUGCUUAGAGAUGACACAGAACACCGAUUGCGUAGGCAGCUCACUAAACUGUAACUGACGCUGAGGCACGAAAGCGUGGGGAUCAAACAGGAUUAGAUACCCUGGUAGUCCACGCCGUAAACUAUGAUUACUCGAUGUUGGCGAUACACUGUCAGCGUCUGAGCGAAAGCAUUAAGUAAUCCACCUGGGGAGUACGGUCGCAAGACUGAAACUCAAAUGAAUUGACGGCUGGAGAGNGCGAGGACGACGACGAGGGGAGGAG